UACGUAGGGACCGAGCGUUGUCCGGAAUCAUUGGGCGUAAAGAGCGUGUAGGCGGCCACUUAAGUCCUGCGUGAAAUCUUGCGGCUCAACCGCAAGCGGUCGUGGGAAACUGGGUGUCUAGAGUGCAGGAGAGGUAAGUGGAAUUCCUAGUGUAGCGGUGAAAUGCGUAGAGAUUAGGAAGAACACCAGUGGCGAAGGCGACUUACUGGACUGUAACUGACGCUGAGGCAUGAAAGCGUGGGGAGCAAACAGGG
rnacentral:rRNA from 1 species